AAGACGGAGGAGGCAUUUAUGACAAAACUUGGGCCUUCUCCCCAGCGAUGGGGGGUGUCUGAGGUCAGAUGGUUCUCAUUUGAGUUCACAGCCCUGCCUGGGUGGCGUGAACUCCAUGAAGAGCUCCCCAGAGAGAAACCGAGAGAGGAAGAGAAAGGACGGCUUGAUGCCACUCAGCUGACACUCUGGGAAAACUGCCUAAUGGACAGAAGAGAGGAGGAGGAGGAGAGAGAUGGACCAAAGUACCACAGAAUCUCAGACAGGAACAGAUCUGGCUUAUGAAAAUACUCAAUAUUGCUGAAGCUGGAGUGGAAUCCCAGGAGUCCCUUUCAUGUUUGAAAGAGAAGCACACAAAAGGCACACUCAUCCUACUAGGAUUUUCCAUCUCUCCACAUGGGAAGUCUAAAACCACUGUGCAUGCCUCAGAUUCACUACAAAUAUCAUAGAUCUUUAAUUCUACUAUUGUUUGGUUUACGAUCACAUUACUGUCAGUAGACUCACAGGCCACUUCAUUUAGAUGUUUUGACAUCCCUUAAGCCUUUCCGUUUUGUACUCAGUUUUUCCAGUUGGUUCGAGAAGGCUGGCAGUCUGUGAUUAAUUACUUUUGUUUUAUUCAUUCUUAGUUUUUCUCCCGGUAUGAAGAUUGUGCAAAAAUGAACUCCCUUUGGUUAAGUUUUACAAUGCUUUUUAUUUACUUUAUGCCAUAGUGUGGUGCAAAACUGAACAUGUGUUCACAAAUAUAUGCAUGUUUAACACACAGAGCGUGUCUU